rnacentral:rRNA from 1 species
GACGAACGCUGGCGGCGUGCUUAACACAUGCAAGUCGAACGGAAAGGCCCGGCUUUUGUGGGGUGGUCGAGUGGAGAAGGGGUGAGUAACACGUGAGUAACCUGCCAUUGACUUUGGGAUAACUUAAGGAAACUGGGGCUAAUACCGGAUAGGAGCUACUGCUGCAUGGUGGGGGUUGGAAAGAUUAGGCUGUUGGGGAUUGACUCGCGGCUUAUCAGCUUGUUGGUUUGGUAGUGGCUUACCAAGGCUUUGAAGGGUAGCCGGGCUGAGAGGGUGAGCUGCCCCAUUGGGACUGAGAUGCGGCCCAGCCUCCUCCGGUAGGCAGCACAGGGGUAUGUUGCACUAUGCGCUGGAGCCUGAUGUAGCACCGCCGCGUCCGGUAUGUCGGCCUUCCGUUUGUAUUCCGCUUUCGUUUUUGCCGAAGUGUUAGUGACGGUAAUGGGUAAAUAAGCACCGGCUAACUCCGUG